rnacentral:tRNA from 1 species
ACUUGGAUAGCUUAUAUUUAGAGCAUGAUAUUGAAGAUAUCAGGGAAGUCUUGACUUUCAAGUA